UACGAAGGGGGCUAGCGUUGCUCGGAAUCACUGGGCGUAAAGCGCACGUAGGCGGCUUUCUAAGUCAGGGGUGAAAUCCUGGAGCUCAACUCCAGAACUGCCUUUGAUACUGGAGAGCUAGAGUCCGGAAGAGGUGAGUGGAACUGCGAGUGUAGAGGUGAAAUUCGUAGAUAUUCGGAGGAACACCAGUGGCGAAGGCGGCUCACUGGUCCGGUACUGACGCUGAGGUGCGAAAGCGUGGGGAGCAAACAGG
rnacentral:rRNA from 1 species